UUCCCUCUUCACCAAAGCUGAAAGCCGAAACCUACCUCCCUUGUUCUUUCUUCCUUACCGACUCUGCUAGCCUCGGAGCUUUAUAUCUCUCUUGCCAUACUCUUGCUUCCAGUUUCCUCUGUAGGCUUCUUCUUAUUCUUCUUCUUCUCGGUUCCUGCAUUGAGUUCUUUUUGUGAAAAUAUGAGUUUGAUUUCUCAAAAUGUUGGCUCCAAAAACAGAGUUAAGACUAGAGAGAAGGAGACUAAUGAACCUACAUUUAUGGAAGGAAAUAAAGAGAAUGAAGAAGGAACAGAAUCUGAGUUGGUUAAGUUAAGGGCAAAAAAGAGAAAGAAAGAAAAGCAAGAACAAUUGGAAGCUGAUGAAGGAAGGGAAAUGAAAAGGUUGGAAAACUUUUUGUUUGGAUCCCUAUAUUCCCCUAUUGAAUUUGGAAAGAAUGAGGAGGAAAAGGCCUGUGAUGUGGCUGGGGAUGGUUCUGCUUUGUUCUUUGUGGACCGUUCGGCAAAUAGCUUACUGUCUGUUUAUGAAGACGAUAUGGAAUUCACUGAGAGAAGUGAUGUUGAAGAGGAAACCAAACAACAAAAAGCUGUUUGGGUUGAUGAUGAAGAGGAAAAGACCACAGUUAACAUUGCUACGAAUAAUAGAUUAAGGAAACUGAGGAAGGAAGAGGAUGAGAGUUUGAUUUCCGGUCGGGAAUAUGUUGCAAGAUUAAGGGCUCAACAUGCUAAGCUGAAUCGAGGCACUGAGUGGGCCCGACUUGAUUUUCAGUCAAGAAAUUAUAAUGAUGAAUCUUCAGAUGAAGAGAACAGCAUUUUUACAGCACGUGGUUAUGAGUAUGUUGAAGGUUUUGAUGAUAUUCUUCGAACAAAUGAGGACCUUGUAGUGAAGAGCAGAACUAAACUGUUGCCUGGGCUUCUUGAGUACUCAAGACUUGUGGAUGCAAAUGCUCAGGAUCCAUCCAAUGGUCCAAUAAAUUCUGUUCAGUUCCAUCGGAAUGCACAGUUGCUGCUUGCUGCUGGAUUGGAUCGAAGGCUGAGGUUUUUUCAGAUUGAUGGGAAACAUAAUACAAAAAUACAAAGCAUUUUCAUUGAUGAUUGCCCUAUCCGCAAGGCAUCUUUCUUACCUGAUGGUUCACAGGUUAUUAUAGCAGGAAGAAGAAAGUUCUUUUACAAUUUUGAUUUAGUGAAAGCUAAAGUUGAUAAAAUAGGCCCCCUGGUUGGCAGGGAGGAGAAGAGCUUGGAGGUUUUUGAGGUAUCCCCUGAUUCGAGUACAAUUGCUUUUGUGGGGAAUGAAGGUUAUAUCCUAUUGAUAUCAUCCAAAACGAAGGAACUCAUUGGAACACUAAAGAUGAAUGGAACUGCUCGUUCUUUAGCUUUUGCUGAUAAUGGGCAGCAAUUAUUGAGCCAUGGAGGUGAUGGGCAGGUGUACCACUGGGAUUUGAGAACAAGGAUGUGCAUCCAUAAGGCUGUUGAUGAAGGUUGUAUAAAUGGCACGGCUCUUUGCACUUCCCCAAAUGGAAACUUUUUUGCUGCUGGCUCGGACAGUGGGAUAGUGAAUGUUUACAACAGAGAGGAGUUUUUAGGUGGGAAGAGAAAACCAAUAAAGGCAAUUGAGAAAAGCUAGAAGAUUUUAUGGUUGGAACCUUAUCAUUAGCUAUUACUUGUGAAUUAUUAGAAAGUUUCAAGCAAAAAAUAGCGGACAUCUAUUGAAGACAGAAUCAUUUUUACUAGGAAGCUUUUUGCUCUUGACCAACUCAAAUAGCAAUGAAAGAUACAACCCAAAAAAACUUUCCGAUAAAGCGAAAAAUCGAGAGAUCUUUGGGUUUUAAAUGUCCAACUGGACUUAAAGAUUCAAGAUAGAAUACAAAACACGAAAGAGAGAAAAGGAGAACUGAGCAUACAGUAGAGAUAAUAAUGAAGAAAGGACAGAGAGAGACUAAGAAGAGAGAGAUAUGACCCAACUUUCAAGGAUACUUAUUUAGUUGCUGUGGCAGAAAUCUAAUACACCUUAGCCAAAAUCUGACAAAAUGGCCUUUUAAAAACACGAUGCAAAAUUCAGUGAUUUGUGUGAAAAUUUGAAAAUAAGUAUUGAUGUGUGAAAUUUACCACAUGGUUAGUGUAUAACAAACUCUCAUGCAAACUCCUUUUUUCCGACCCUCCUACAACUGUUACUAGUUUGACUAUAAAUUUCCUAUUCAACUUGUAACAACUUCCUCCUAGUCUCUUACAAAUGGCAUCUAGGAUGACAACGUUAACAAUAACUGUAACGAAUUUUCUCCCUUUUCCUUUAAGAGUAAUAGUCUUAACCAGUAUCAAAAUCUAGCAUGCAAGUUCAGUUCACCCAUAGAUGUCAAUCUGUAUGAUUGGCACAGUGUUGUCAAAUUUGGAGCAUAUAUGACCCAGUCUAGGAUGUUCAUGUGACACUGAGCAUAGACUCAAAGAUGCCUUGUAGAAGUUAGUGUUCAUAAGAGAAAAUAGUUUGCUAGAGUUCAAUAUAAAAAAACAAUUCACUAACUGAGUACUGAUCCCAUAGAAGGAAUAGAAUAGAGUACAAUGAUUCAGUUCUUCAGCACCAAAAAAAUAUUCUCUACCUAUGCUUCCCAGUAUGAAGCUAGAGCCUGUUGCUUGAUAGAACAAUACUCACAAAGCAACUACAGGUUUGCAACUAUUAUAUGAAUCUUCAAAACCAUAACAGAUAAAAGACAUUUUUUACAUUUUAGUUGAACCAAGUAAAUAAAUUAUAUGGUGGCCAAUAAAGAGUGAGUUGAUUUAAGCACAGUACUUAAUUGUUUUUUAUUGCACUAGUACUUGGAAAUUUUACAAAUAGAAGAUUGUCUCAUCAUAUCAUGUAGUUAAAUUGACUUCCAUAUUUGUGUGGCAGCAAGGAAAACUAAGGGCGUAAAGCUCCAUCUAAGAGAUUCACUUCAAAUUGAACAGAUUCAACAUUCAAAUCCAUUUUGGUUCUAUUAUUUUAGAAGAUAAAUAAAGAAAAACACCCUUUUGAAUGAACUUCUCGUAAGUGUAAGAAAAGAAACAGACUGCACCAGUGAGAAUCAACAAAUUGAAGUAAAUUCAUCAACAAGUGACUGAAUGGUAAGAACUAAAAAUAUCUAAUAAAACAUCAUUUCUUCAAUGAAUUUCGAGAAUAUGGAAUAUGGAAGCCCACAAUUAAAUGAGCUCAAAGUGAUUCAUUUCUUUUGAAUUAUCAAAAAAAAAAA
rnacentral:misc_RNA from 1 species